GCCUCGUGGUGACCGCCAACUUCCCUGGGACUGCCCUCUCCCGGCAACCGAAAGAAGGCCCCCUGUCCUCCCGCUGCCCCGGCCCAGGGCAGAGGAGCCGCCGCAUUUGGACUCAAACAUCCCAGUCCGGAUGUGCUUUCAGAGGAAGUGGAAACAUCACUGAAGAAAACAAAACCAGAAAUAGUGGCUAGACUAAACCACGUGUAAAUAGAGGAUGUCUGUGCUAGAGGUAACAUGUGACGUGGAUUAUAUGAAGGGCUAAAUUCAUCAAGUGUCUACAGGAGGGCAAGAUAACAGAGAAGCACUCUACAAGGCAGAAAGGUGGCAUGGUGGAUAUCUUGAUGGACUUGGAUUGAAGGUGGGUUCGAGUCUGGCCUCAGACCCCUAUU